rfam:Triticum aestivum genome assembly, contig: Triticum_aestivum_CS42_TGACv1_scaffold_513178_6BS
AUUCUACUCCCUCCGUCUGGAAAUAGUUGUCAUCAAAAUGAACAAAAGGGGAUGUAUCUAGACAUAUUUUAGUUUUAGAUAUGCCUUUUUUUUAUCCAUUUUGAUGACAAGUAUUUUCAGACGGAGGGAGUAUCUG